rnacentral:lncRNA from 10 species
ACAGAUAUGGAAACUGAGCCCUCACACAUGGACUGAAUUCUGACAAGCAGAGGAUAAAGGCAGAACAACAUGACUGAAGGGAAGAUGCUUUUGUGAUAUAUCCCAGCAUGCUGAUGACCCCAAGGAGGACCACUGGAUACCUAGCAAGGUAAGAAAGAAUAGUUUUUAUUCCAAGAUUUUUAGGUUUGAGGCUGGCCUAGGUAGGACAGGUUGGGCUGGGGAUGCUGGAGAGUUAUCAUCCCUGUGACAAAUAUAUG